UACGGGGGGGGCAAGCGUUGUUCGGAAUUACUGGGCGUAAAGGGCUUGUAGGUGGCCAACUAAGUCAGACGUGAAAUCCCUCGGCUUAACCGGGGAACUGCGUCUGAUACUGGAUGGCUUGAGUGUGGGAGAGGGAUGCGGAAUUCCAGGUGUAGCGGUGAAAUGCGUAGAUAUCUGGAGGAACACCGGUGGCGAAGGCGGCAUCCUGGACCGGCAUUGACGCUGAGGAGCGAAAGCCAGGGGAGCAAACGGG
rnacentral:rRNA from 1 species